rnacentral:rRNA from 1 species
AACGCGUGGGUAACCUGCCCUAUACACAUGGAUAACAUACUGAAAAGUUUACUAAUACAUGAUAAUAUAUAUUUACGGCAUCGUAGAUAUAUCAAAGUGUUAGCGGUAUAGGAUGGACCCGCGUCUGAUUAGCUAGUUGGUGAGAUAACUGCCCACCAAGGCGACGAUCAGUAGCCGACCUGAGAGGGUGAUCGGCCACAUUGGAACUGAGACACGGUCCAAACUCCUACGGGAGGCAGCAGUG